UGUGGGAGCUGGCUUGCCAGCGAUGGCGUCAGUCCUUUAACCGUUGCGGUCGCUGACACACCGCUAUCGCUGGCAAGCCAGCUCCCACA
rnacentral:antisense_RNA from 1 species